rnacentral:lncRNA from 1 species
AUGCCAUCAAGCACUCCCAGCGUUACUAGUCUUGCAACUUCUACCAAGCUAGUUACCCGUGCCAUGCAGGAACCACAAGUGUCUUCUCAGCCUGAGCGUCCCAACACAUUAUAUUCUCUAGUAGGGCAAAAGAGUACACCAGCAUCCAGCUAUCCUCAGACAGCAACGGCAUGUUCUACACCUGUCCUUAAUUGUGAAACAAUAGAAAAUAAGAUAAGAAAGGAUAUCCAACGUUCCUGGAGAAGCAUAAUGAAACUGCAAAGAGAAGGAUGUCGGCAAGCUAGGAGAAAUCCCAGUGUCAGACUUCCUCGAUAUAGCAGAGAUAUUCCACUGGCGUUUAAGUAA